rnacentral:rRNA from 1 species
AAACUUUCAACAACGGAUCUCUUGGUUCCGGCAUCGAUGAAGAACGCAGCGAAAUGCGAUACGUAAUGUGAAUUGCAGAAUUCAGUGAAUCAUCGAGUCUUUGAACGCACAUUGCGCCCCCUGGUAUUCCGGGGGGCAUGCCUGUCCGAGCGUCAUUU